UACGAAGGGGGCUAGCGUUGUUCGGAUUUACUGGGCGUAAAGCGCACGUAGGCGGCUCGUUAAAUCGGGGGUGAAAUCCUGGAGCUCAACUCCAGAACUGCCUUCGAUACUGGCGAUCUUGAGUCCGGAAGAGGUGAGUGGAACUCCUAGUGUAGAGGUGGAAUUCGUAGAUAUUAGGAAGAACACCAGUGGCGAAGGCGGCUCACUGGUCCGGUACUGACGCUGAGGUGCGAAAGCGUGGGGAGCAAACAGG
rnacentral:rRNA from 1 species